rnacentral:rRNA from 1 species
CCUACGGGACGCAGCAGUGGGGGAUAUUGCACAAUGGGGGGAACCCUGAUGCAGCGACGCCGCGUGGGUGAAGGAGCGUUUCGGCGCGUAAAGCCCUAUCGGCAGGGAAGAAGAUGACGGUACCUGACCAAGAAGCCCCGGCUAACUACGUGCCAGCAGUCGCGGUAAUACGUAGGGGGCAAGCGUUAUCCGGAUUUACUGGGUGUAAAGGGGGCGCAGACGGCAAUGCAAGCCAGGAGUGAAAGCCCGGGGCCCAACCCCGGGACUGCUCUGGAAACUGUACGGCUGGAGUGCAGGAGGGGUAA